CUGAAAUCAGCCAUGAAUUUGAUACAAUCCUAGAAUACAAUAAGGGCAGAAACUAUGACCAUUUGAUGCUAGGGGCUAAGCCGAGUUUGAACAAGUCUAGGAGAUGAGCGACUACCGGGGCGGAAGCACACAGGUCGGCGUGGACACCCAUUCUCCAACAUAUGCAUCCGCCUUGUCCUUUCUAACGUUUAUGAUUUUACCGGCCCGUCACCGUUACCGCACUCCAUAAUAGUUCUCCUAGGUGUGGCGCCUUUUCUAGCCCACAAAAGGGGCUGGAAAUACUCGAGCCUUUCUCAAGCGAAAUAAGAU
rnacentral:sRNA from 2 species